rnacentral:rRNA from 1 species
AGUGAACGCUGGCGGUAGGCCUAACACAUGCAAGUCGAACGGCAGCACAGUAAGAGCUUGCUCUUACGGGUGGCGAGUGGCGGACGGGUGAGGAAUACAUCGGAAUCUACUUUUUCGUGGGGGAUAACGUAGGGAAACUUACGCUAAUACCGCAUACGACCUACGGGUGAAAGCAGGGGAUCUUCGGACCUUGUGCGAUUGAAUGAGCCGAUGUCGGAUUAGCUAGUUGGCGGGGUAAAGGCCCACCAAGGCGACGAUCCGUAGCUGGUCUGAGAGGAUGAUCACCCACACUGGAACUGAGACACGGUCCAGACUCCUACGGGAGGCAGCAGUGGGGAAUAUUGGACAAUGGGCGCAAGCCUGAUCCAGCCAUACCGCGUGGGUGAAGAAGGCCUUCGGGUUGUAAAGCCCUUUUGUUGGGAAAGAAAAGCAGCAGGUUAAUACCCCGCUGUUCUGACGGUACCCAAAGAAUAAGCACCGGCUAACUUCGU